AGAGACGGGUCUUGCUAUGUUGUCUAGGCUGAUCUUGAACUCCUGGGCUUAAGCAAUCCUCCUGCCCUGACCUCCCAAAGUGCUAGGAUUACAGGCGUGAGCCAUGAUACCCGGCUGCAGUGAUAAUUCUUUUACAGUAUGAUAUUUAAAGGCUGUAUAGAAUUCAUCUUUUGGAUAUAAACUAAUUUACUUAACCUCUGAUUUCUGGACAUUUAGAUUAUUUAAGAUAAUGAGCCUUGUCAUAAUGAACAUCUCUGUGUUUAACUCAGACAUUUUCCUUAAGAAAAAAAUCAAGGAAGUGGAAUGAAUGGGUAAAAUUGUACAAAUAUAUUUAAGAUUUUAAAACAUAUGAUCAAAUUACCCCCACUCCACACACACAGACGCAAAGGUAAAUUCUGUUACUAGCAGUAUAGACAGCACAUAUUUCCUUUGCCAAGAGUGAUAUUAUCAUUAAAAUUUUUUCAACAACAAAAAAGUUAUUCUAAUUUGUAAUUAUUUUUUAUUUCCAGGGAGAUGAUGAAUGUUUUCACAUUUAUUAUUCAGAGUGAACACAACAAUGUAACCACCCCAUAUCAAGAAAUAGAGCAUUAUCAGCACCCUAGAAGCCAAAGCCACCUGCCUUUUCCUCUUGCUGCCUAAAGGAGUGUGGAGAUGAAUAAGGCCCAGUUCCGACAUCUGGGAUUUUGACUCUCCAGGCAAGAGGACAGGAAAAAGAUGUUUGGCUUCUAUGAACUAAUUCACUGUCCAGAGCAUCUUGGCAUCUGGCUGCUGCUGAGGAAAGAGGAGGAUGUUUGUGUGUGUGUGUGUGCACAUGCGCCCGUGUGUGCGUAUCUGAGGGAAGCUAAAUAUUACAUUUCAGGGCUUAGUCCUUCCAUACUUUGAAUUUAAUAUGUAAUUAUGAAUAAACAUGGAAACGUAAAAACAAAACCACCCAUGCCUCACGAUCCUAUUGACAUUGGGAGAGCACAUUUACUAUGUGUCUUCAUUCUUGUGGUCAGGUACGGAGCAUUACAGCCAUUUUUACAUGUGUGCAUGCUUUCAGUUACAACAGAGGCUGAAAAUGGGCAACCCUAUGAAACUACUGUUUUGUAUAUUUUUUAUUUAAUUUAAUUUUUUUGAGACAGAGUCUCACUCUGUCACCCAGGCUGGAGUGCAGUGGCACGAUGUCAGCAAACUGCAACCUCUGCCUCCCGGGUUCAAGCAAUUCUCCUGUCUCAGCCUCCCGAGUAGCUGGGAUUACAGGCACCUGCCACCACGCCCGGCUAAUUUUUGUAUUUUUAGUAGAGACGGGGUUUCACCUUGUUGGUCAGGCUGGUCACAAACUCCUGACCUCAGGUGAUCCACCUGCCUCAGCCUCCCAAAGUGCUGGGAUUACAGGCGUGAGCCACUGUGCCCGGCCUGCUUCGUUUAUUUUUAAAGAUGGCU
rnacentral:lncRNA from 10 species